rnacentral:misc_RNA from 1 species
GGAAGGAUCAUUAACACGUAUCCACGUAUCAACCAACUGUGAACUUGUUCUCAACUUCGCCCCUGCGCGAGGAUGAAUUGGCAAUCGAAUGGAGAGGAUGAAAUGGGUCUCGUCGCUUCGGCUGCGAUUCCCUCGCCUUCGAUCACCUGGAAGCAAUUCCUAACAAUUGUACCGCGCGCGUCAGGCCAACCCUUUCUACUCAUGUAGCUUCGCCUUUCAUGGAGCUAAGAGUGGAAUAUUCAAACACAUAUUUCACCCCUUUUUGCUAGUUGACUUUUAUAUGUUGUCUGAUUCAUCUUAAUUGAUGAGCCAUUCACACGUUUAUUACUUGAACGUUAAAAUUACAACUCUUAGCAAUGGAUAUCUUGGUUCUCGCAACGAUGAAGAACGCAGCGAAAUGCGAUACGUAAUGCGAAUUGGCAGAAUUCAGUGAAUCAUCAAAUCUUUGAACGCAAAUUGCGCUCUUGGGUAGCCCUAGGAGCACGCCUCUCUCAGUAUCGGUUCAAACACCUCUCAGCAGCGUAUGCAAAUACGUGUUGGCUGGAUAAUGAGAGUCGAAUCAUCACUGAUUCGUCUCUUGAAAUACAUCGAAGUGAGUCUCAUAUUCUCUAUACGCGUGUCUUCGGGCACAAGCUCGUUUUUCGACUGGCUGUAUGGGAGUGACGUGAAUACUGACCCUUGUGGUCUCACAUUUACGUGUAACUUUCAUUCGCUAUUCAAAGUCGAUUAGGAGUGUUGGAGAAGAGUGGCUCAUGUCAAGCGGCUUCGGCUGCAAUCGGCUUGAAUGCAAAUUCGAGUCUGAAUUUUGAUCUGAGAUGAAGCGAGACAACCCCCUGAAUUUAAGCAUAUUAAUAAGGGGAGGAAAAGAAACUAACAAGGAUUCCCCCAGUAACGGCGAGUGAAGCGGGAAGAGCUCAAUUUGAAAAUCGACUACCUAAGCGGGUCGUCGAGUUGUAGCCUAGAGACGUACUAUCAGCUGAAACCUGGGUAUAAGUUCUUUGGAAUGAGGCAUCAUAGAGGGUGAGAAUCCCGUAUAUGACCCAAAGCUUUCAGCGUACGAUGUAUGUUCAUCGAGUCGAGUUGUUUGGGAUUGCAGCUCUAAAUGGGUGGUAAGUUUCAUCUAAAGCUAAAUAAUGGCGAGAGACCGAUAGCGAACAAGUACCGUGAGGGAAAGAUGAAAAGAACUUUGAAAAGAGAGUUAAAAGUACUUGAAAUUGCUAAGAGGGAAGCGCUGGCAACCAGUGAUUCUCGUCGUUCAUCGCCCUCAGCCCCACUGGUUCGUGUGAGUAGUUGGAAACUCUGCUUACGCGAACGAAAGGGAGGUUGGAGGUUUAGGACGGCGGGUUAGUCAAGAUUCAUUCGAUCUGUGGAAGAAGGUAGCGAGAAAGGUAGGUGACUCCGGUCACUGUUAUAGUCUUGUUACAGAUACCUCGGGUUGGAUGGAGGAAGGAAUAGUGCGCCGCUUGCGGCUUAGUCCCAUGCUCCUGCCGCUGAAGUAGCUUUGAUAGCAAUGCUAUCCUGGUUGCGCAAGGUGGUACUGGGUGUGGUGGCUCUAUGUGCUAUCACGAUCUUGUACGAAAUGGUUGUCAUCGACCCGUCUUGAAACACGGACCAAGGAGUCUAACAUCUAUGCGAGUAUUUGAGUGAAAAACUCUGAUUGCGCAAUGAAAGUAAAGGCAGCUUCGGUUGCUGAGGUAGGAAUCCGGUCAAACGGAGGCACUAUCGACCGAUCAUCACUUGUGAAAGAUUUGAGUAAGAGCAUAUCUGUUGGGACCCGAAAGAUGGUGAUCUAUGCCUGAACAGGGUGAAGCCAGGGGAAAACUCUGGUGGAGGCUCGUAGCGAUACUGACGUGCAAAUCGUUCGUCUGAUUUGGGUAUAGGGGCGAAAGACUAAUCGAACCAUCUAGUAGCUGGUUCCCUC